UACGUAGGGUGCGAGCGUUGUCCGGAAUUAUUGGGCGUAAAGAGCUCGUAGGCGGUCUGUCGCGUCGGUCGUGAAAACUUGGGGCUUAACCCUGAGCUUGCGGUCGAUACGGGCAUGACUGGAGUUCGGUAGGGGAGACUGGAAUUCCUGGUGUAGCGGUGAAAUGCGCAGAUAUCAGGAGGAACACCGGUGGCGAAGGCGGGUCUCUGGGCCGAAACUGACGCUGAGGAGUGAAAGCGUGGGGAGCAAACAGG
rnacentral:rRNA from 1 species